GACUGUGCAGAUUAAUAUUGCAGUCAUAAAAGUAUUAUAACGUUAUUGUUUAGUGCAUAUAAUGUGAACGUAGUUUAUUGUAUAUUACACAGGAAAUGGAUUCGGGAGACAAUUGACAAUAAGAAGAUACCCAUUACAUUUAGCAGACGACAAUACCAUGUUGUUAUUUUGAUUAAACCAAAUGUACGCAAAGUUGAACAUUCUAAGGGAUAAGCUGCUGCCUCAAAUUAUACGAAGAAAUAUCAAGCUGAAGUUCUCUAUGGACGUGAAGACAGAUUUGGUAAGU